GAUGAACGCUGGCGGCGUGCCUAAUACAUGCAAGUCGAGCGAAGCGGGGACGGGUGAGUAACACGUGGAUAACCUCCUAUAAGACUGGGAUAACUUCGGGAAACCGGAGUUAAACCGGAACCUUAUCAAUGGAGCCGUGCUGGAUUAGCUAGUUGGUACGGUAACGGCUUACCAAGGCAACGUUGCAUAGCCGACCUGAGAGGUUGAUCGGCCACACUGGAACUGAGACACGGUCCAGACUCCUACGGGAGGCAGCAGUAGGGAAUCUUCCGCAAUGGGCGAAAGCCUGACAGAGCAACGCCGCGUGAGUGAUGAAGGCCUUCGGGUCGUAAAGCACUGUUAUUAGGGAAGCGGUACCUAUUCAGAAAGCCACGGCUAACUACGUGCCAGCAGCCGCGGUAAUAC
rnacentral:rRNA from 1 species